rnacentral:tRNA from 1 species
GGCUUCGUGGUCGAGUGGUAAAGACACUUGUCUCUCACUCUGAAGUCCCGAGUUCGAUCCCCGAUCGAGGAACUA